GUUUGGUUAUUGAACUAAAAACUGCUUGUGUACACAUUGGUAUAUUUUGUUGGACUAACCCCUGCAGGAAAACUUUCAAUAUCGACCUGGGAAGUCCUGAGAUAAACUCACAUUGGAGAUAAAGAGAGAGACACAUGAAGUUUAACAAUUUACACAAGGAAGGCACAAGAGAUGAUCGAUGGAGGGUGCCACAAACACGAUGCACAACCCCUA
rnacentral:lncRNA from 1 species